CUACGGAGGAUGCGAGCGUUAUCCGGAUUUAUUGGGUUUAAAGGGAGCGUAGGUGGGAUAUUAAGUCAGCUGUGAAAGUUUGGGGCUCAACCUUAAAAUUGCAGUUGAUACUGGUUUCCUUGAGUACGGUACAGGUGGGCGGAAUUCGUGGUGUAGCGGUGAAAUGCUUAGAUAUCACGAAGAACUCCGAUCGCGAAGGCAGCUCACCGGGCCGGAACUGACACUGAUGCUCGAAAGUGCGGGUAUCAAACAGGAUUAGAUACCCUGGUAGUCCGCACAGUAAACGAUGAAUACUCGCUGUUUGCGAUACACUGUAAGCGGCCAAGCGAAAGCGUUAAGUAUUCCACCUGGGGAGUACGCCGGCAACGGUGAAACUCAAAUGAAUCGACGGGG
rnacentral:rRNA from 1 species